ensembl:lincRNA
AAGGAGUUUUCCUCAUGAAGAAAUGGGUCCUGGGAAGCUGAGUGAUUAGUUACAUGGCUAGAACUUAAGGGGCUGGGAUGAAAACUUGGGCUUUAUGGUCAGCUGGUUCUGCUGUCCUGAUGUCCAGCCAAUAUUACCCUCCAAAUAGACAGACAAAGCUGUAAGCAGGAAUGCCAUUGUCACUCUUUUCUCCCUAGGUGAGGCUGUAUACCUGGAGGUCAUUGAAGCCUUUGUGCUCUCUUAUGACUUCAAGUGCUGUGAUUAAAGCAGGGGAGGCCACGAUUCUCUACAAGGAGCCAGUACCUGAGCUGCUAAAGAGAUGUCAGGGAUGCACGAGAGAAACCUGUGUGGUUUCCUUCCACCUUUCAACUGACAGUGACCUCUUCAGCCCAACCAACUACCAUUUCCUGUCCUCCCCGAAGGAUGCCAAAGGGCUGGUCAAGGCCAACAUCACUGUCAGCAUCUCAAAGAAGGGUGGUUUGUUUGUUUUUAAUCUGAAGACUUCUGCUGUGGCUCUUUUUGUUUGGUUGGAUGUAGGAAGCAUCCCAGGAAGAUUUAGUGAUAAUGGCUUUCUCAUGACUCAGAAGAUGCAUUCUGUACUGUUUUAUCCUUGGAAGCUCACCAGCAAGAGUAAGCUGCAGGAGGCUUUGAGUGUGACCUCCCUGACAGAUAUCUACUGAUGGGACACGUGUGGAUUGUAUUUCAUCGGACACUGGGAAUGAAGCCUUUCUAAAGCAUGGCUGCAGGGAGUCAGCCUGAGGUGGUGCUAGCUGGUGUGCUCUGACUGUCCACUCUUCCAGUUUGUACAGUGAAUGCUUUCAAAGACGGCUGAUCACCCAGGUUAUGCUCUUAGACAAGGUCAUUCCCAGGUGUUCUGGAAUCUUCCAGGAUUGUGUUUUUAGAGCUUUGUUCCACAGCUAAAGCGCAACCAGAAAGAAGAGUUAUGCAACUUGGUGAUUUUUUAGGAAGCUGCUGGAUUGUGCCAUUGCACGAUGUGUGGAACUAAAUGUGGAGGUUCUGAAGUAAUGCAGCCCUUUCCUAGUGGUGUGGAAUCCUACCCACUGAAGACAAAGAGUACACCUAUUAUUGCCAGAGGAAAUGGGAGCUCAGGUGCGACAAUAGAGAUUGCUUGAUGGCAGCCAUUUUGAUUGCUGCUGGUUGACAGUGUAGGGGCUUAAUGGCUGCCAUUUGAUUACCAUCUUGACGUCAGAUUCCUUUUUUUCAUAUGGUUUGUUCUUAAAAGACCAUGAGAGUGAUCUUUCUUUAAAAAACAGUGUAGGCUGACUGUACUGUACCUUCCUGUAAUCCCAGCACUUUGGAGGCAGAGGCAGGAAGCUCACAAGUUCAAGGUUGGCCCUGACUGCUCUGUAGACUUUUUCACCUCUCCUGGCCCUGAGGUUUCAUGUGAGCAUUAGGCUUCACUCUGAUUUUGAUGAGCUGCAUUUAAACUCAUCGGCUCUGGUGUGGAAGUGGUAAAAAAUGUUAAAAAGUAGCUAAUGUGGGUACAGGCUUGUGGAUUUUUUUGUACUACUUUUGUACUUUUUCUAUAUGUUUAAAAUUAUAUAAAAAGCCAUAGGCUAUACAAAUUGCAUUGACAACUCAAUAGUUCAUCUGCGCUCUGCUUCCCCAUUUAAUAAACAUUCCGUUGUGUGCA